AACGUAGGUUCCGAGCGUUAUCCGGAUUUACUGGGCGUAAAGAGCGUGUAGGCGGCCAAACAGGUCCGUUGUGAAAACUGGAGGCUCAACCUCCAGACGUCGACGGAAACCGUGUGGCUAGAGUCCGGAAGAGGAGAGUGGAAUUCCUGGUGUAGCGGUGAAAUGCGCAGAUAUCAGGAGGAACACCGAUGGCGAAGGCAGGUCUCUGGGCCACUACUGACGCUGAGAAGCGAAAGCAUGGGGAGCGAACAGG
rnacentral:rRNA from 1 species